AGUGAACGCUGGCGGUAGACCUAACACAUGCAAGUCGAACGGCAGCACAGAGGAGCUUGCUCCUUGGGUGGCGAGUGGCGGACGGGUGAGGAAUACAUCGGAAUCUACUCUGUCGUGGGGGAUAACGUAGGGAAACUUACGCUAAUACCGCAUACGACCUACGGGUGAAAGCAGGGGACCUUCGGGCCUUGCGCGAUUGAAUGAGCCGAUGUCGGAUUAGCUAGUUGGCGGGGUAAAGGCCCACCAAGGCGACGAUCCGUAGCUGGUCUGAGAGGAUGAUCAGCCACACUGGAACUGAGACACGGUCCAGACUCCUACGGGAGGCAGCAGUGGGGAAUAUUGGACAAUGGGCGCAAGCCUGAUCCAGCCAUACCGCGUGGGUGAAGAAGGCCUUCGGGUUGUAAAGCCCUUUUGUUAGGAAAGAAAUCCAGCUGGCUAAUACCCGGUUGGGAUGACGGUACCCAAAGAAUAAGCACCGGCUAACUUCGUGCCAGCCGCCGCGGUAA
rnacentral:rRNA from 1 species